UACGAAGGGGGCUAGCGUUGUUCGGAUUUACUGGGCGUAAAGCGCACGUAGGCGGAUUUGUAAGUCAGGGGUGAAAUCCCGGGGCUCAACCUCGGAACUGCCUUUGAUACUGCAAGUCUCGAGUCCGAUAGAGGUGGGUGGAAUUCCUAGUGUAGAGGUGAAAUUCGUAGAUAUUAGGAAGAACACCGGUGGCGAAGGCGGCCCACUGGAUCGGUACUGACGCUGAGGUGCGAAAGCGUGGGGAGCAAACAGG
rnacentral:rRNA from 1 species